UACAGAGGUCCCAAGCGUUGUUCGGAUUCACUGGGCGUAAAGGGUGCGUAGGUGGUGAGGUAAGUCGGAUGUGAAAGCUCGGAGCUCAACUCCGAAAUGGCAUUGGAAACUACCUUGCUCGAGGGAUGGAGGGGGGACUGGAAUUCUUGGUGUAGCAGUGAAAUGCGUAGAUAUCAAGAGGAACACCAGUGGCGAAGGCGGUUCUCUGGGCAUUACCUGACGCUGAGGAGCGAAAGUGUGGGGAGCGAACAGG
rnacentral:rRNA from 1 species